UAAGCAUGAGUGGUGAUUAAGAAAAUAACAACUGCCUGAAACCAAGCAAAAAAAGAAGAACCUCUCAUCAGCCACGUCAAAAUCGGUGCAUUGGCAUUACAAAUUGGUGGGUUCAGUCUCCUCUCCAUGACUUUCUAUUUUAAGAAGACAUCCCUUGCCCCCUCACCACAACCCGCACCAACCCAUCCGCGUAACAGCAGCAAGAACCAAAGAAUUAUGAAAAAUUGUAGUUCGUGAAUUAACUUCAAUCCACCGCAAGUAUGCCCGCUAUUACUAGCUUUCGGAGCACCAUCCAUUAGUCGCUAAUAAUGCGUAGAUAACAGAGGACCAUUCACUGAAAAUACAAUGUACGCACAUUUCGUACGAGUGAAGGAACGCGAGUAAAUAACAAGUAAAUAAUGUAGUUCAUAUAAUUUCUUUUUUCAAAACAAGUUGACAGUAAUCACUUACUGAGUUUAAGAACUCAUAAUUCUAGUGAAAUGCAUGAAAAUUAUUUCAUAUUUUUUGCAACUGUCAUUUCCAGACUAGAAGCAUCGCAUGGUGCACCAAAAAUGUACUCACAUGAUAUAAUGAUCGACCAAACCAACCAGCAAAAGUACUUGGAUUAAAAGCCUGCAAAAUAUGCAUAUAUUAGUGAAGGCAACACAAAUUUGAUUCCAAAAAAUUACAGAUAAUUUAUUGCAUAUACCGAGUUACUAAAAGAACAUAUAGAACAUAUGGAUGCUGUCAACAACAAAUGAAAGGAG
rnacentral:lncRNA from 1 species